rnacentral:lncRNA from 1 species
AUCAAUUUACUCAAUCCUCGUACGACUUGCAAAACACAUCUACUAGUAUUAGAAUUUGAAAUAUACAGAAUAUUAAGCAUGAAAAGUUGGAAAAAAUAAAUAAGUUAGCUUGUACCUUGCUAACCAAAUGAUAUAUGCUUGGUGCUUCCCAGCCUCACAACUGAAGAUUGACCCGCAGAUGCCAUAUCUAUUUCUCCCUGGCAGCAACAUCAACAGGUCAGCAGCAAGCAAGCUGCAUUCUUUAGCAAAUCAUAGUUGCGUACAGCAGAGGCCAUGGCCCGGUGCCCAACAGUAGCUAGCAAGCACGCACACGAGCACACAACAAGUAUGUACACACACACAAUAAACAGGCACGCACGCCGCACGCGACAGCAAGAGCACACCACAGCCAACACGCAAGCAAGCGCGGGAGGACCGGACAGGAGGAUAGCAGGGAAUGGGGAAGGUGGACGGGAUACCUUGCUGGCGGCGGCGGAGACUCCAAGCACCGGCGAAACAAAUCCAUGGGGCGGUUCCAAUGCUG